rnacentral:rRNA from 1 species
UAGGGAAUCUUCCACAAUGGGCGCAAGCCUGAUGGAGCAACACCGCGUGAGUGAAGAAGGGUUUCGGCUCGUAAAGCUCUGUUGUUAAAGAAGAACACGUAUGAGAGUAACUGUUCAUACGUUGACGGUAUUUAACCAGAAAGUCACGGCUAACUACGCGCCAG